AGUCACUGGGAUGUAUCUAAACCCAGAGGCGCAGUGAAAGCGGGAGAGCCCUUGUGCUCUCUUGGGAGGAUGGCUGCCCUCCCCUGCAAGGGGUGGGGGCGUCCGCACUCCCGGGGCGCCUCGGCCUUCUGGCUAAGGCGCACCCGGAGCGUACACGUUGGGACCCGAAAGAUGGUGAACUAUGCCUGGUCAGGACGAAGUCAGGGGAAACCCUGAUGGAGGUCCGCAGCGAUUCUGACGUGCAAAUCGAUCGUCAGAGCUGGGUAUAGGGGCGAAAGACUAAUCGAACCAUCUAGUAGCUGGUUCCCUCCGAAGUUUCCCUCAGGAUAGCUGGCGUCCAUUUCGACCGGGACGAGUCUCAUCCGGUAAAGCGAAUGAUUAGAGGCCUUGGGGCCGAAACGACCUCAACCUAUUCUCAAACUUUAAAUGGGUGAGAUCUCCGGCUUGCUUGAUUGAAGCCGCGAGGUCUGGAUCAGGGUGCCAAGUGGGCCAUUUUUGGUAAGCAGAACCGGCGCUGUGGGAUGAA
rnacentral:rRNA from 1 species